rnacentral:tRNA from 10 species
GUCCCCGUAGUUCAACGGAUAGAACAGGAGACUCCUAAGCUCCUGAUGUAGGUUCAAUUCCUGCCGGGGACA